rfam:Salmo salar isolate Sally breed double haploid chromosome ssa03, whole genome shotgun sequence.
UCCAUUCACUACUGUAAGUCACUCUGGAUAAGAGCGUCUGCUAAAUGACUAAAA